CAAUUGGCUUGUUCGAAGACUACAAAGCGAUAAUACAUAUAUAUAUAGUGGCGUGGUUCAAAUAUAAGCCAAUAGCAAUUUUUGUUACGACGGUCACUGAUCUGCGUAGCUCUCUAGCGAUUUCAGUAACUUUUCGUGCAAUCACAACU